rnacentral:rRNA from 1 species
UACGGAGGGAGCUAGCGUUAUUCGGAAUUACUGGGCGUAAAGGGAGCGUAGGCGGGUUAUCAAGUUGGAGGUGAAAGCCCAGGGCUCAACCUUGGAAUUGCCUUCAAAACUGAUAGCCUAGAGUAUGGAAGAGGUAAGUGGAACUCCGAGUGUAGAGGUGAAAUUCGUAGAUAUUCGGAAGAACACCAGUGGCGAAGGCGACUUACUGGUCCAUGACUGACGCUGAGGCUCGAAAGCGUGGGGAGCAAACAGG